AGCGUGAAACCAGAUAAAAACCAGCAAGAAAAAACAAACCAAAAUAUUUUGCAAACUGUGCCUGUAGUGACGUUUUAUUAAGAAUAAUAUAUGACAGAAAUCAACUGCAACUUUAAAUAUUUAACUGUAAAAAUAACCAAGCAGAAUGCAGAGAAACUUUUUGCUAAAUGGAAAUGAUCUUCAAGCAACAUCUCACCUACGUCAGUUUUACUUCAUCAAGGCUUUCACUAAACUCAGAUGCUCAAUAGAUGAUGCUUCAAAGUGGCCCUGAGAUAAAUUGUACAUGUUGCAAUCUUGUGCAGACGUUUUGCACAGUUGUACAAACUUGUCAUAGUAGCUUUAGCCAUUAGCUUUAUGUCUGACAUUAACAACUAAUGUAUUCUACCUGAUGAAGGUAGCUCGACUUUCAAAGUAAGAAUAAAACUAUCAUUGAUUUACAUAAUACAUCACAAUGUGUCACCGCAAAUAACUACAUGUCACACUUUCAAACGGUGGAUGUCUCAGUCCCGAGCAAAACUCAUAUGUGAAGACAGUGAAUUUAAUGCCGGCCUCCUACACAAACCAUUCAACCCAGGCUAGAGUCUAUAGACGUCCGCCUCGUUUCUUUGCACCACGUCUUUUCCAACUCACAGGUUCUGCUGGAAACAUCCUUUGUACUGUUUAAACAGAGCGAGUGCCGAGGCAGAGAACAAAGUAGUGGUGGGUGAGAGCGAGGUAUCACUGUCAAAAAGAGCUCCUCCUACGGAAGACAUUAUUUCUUUUAUUGUACCUGACCUCAUUUGCACAGCAGGGGUUGGUUGUAGUUUUUUUUUGUUUGUUUUUUUUUAAAAAGGCUCAAUCUGUUGAAAAAUUGUAAAAAGUUUGGACACAGUUUGACAAUCUAUUUCACUGCUUUGAAAACUACUUGCCAAAUUGAAGUGCUGUCCUUUCUUUAUGAUAUUUUUUAUUUUUGCUUUUGGGAAUUCAGGACUCAUCUAAUUCUUAAAAGAGUUUUGAGUGCAUGGAUUUAUUUUUACAAUGCUUAAACCACUCCAGCUGAAAAAUACAAUGUUUGGCUGGGAGCCAACUGACCACAGUAUAACAAACAGAAGCCAUAUAAUUAGCCAUAUUUUGGCACAUUUUGGACAGAAAACAUUGUUUUCCAGUAUUCCAAAAUAUGAGAAACAUCUGCUUUGGAUAUGUGUAGAUAAAUAGCAGUUUUACAUAACUUAUGUCUAAUAAAUGUUCAUUAUUUAACUAGAUUGAGUCCAGUCUUAACCAAGAUGUCUACACGUUUUGCAAAUCAACAAAACCAUGCCUCCAGGAACAUUUUGAAUUUGUGUUGAGCAGAUUGAUGUUUUCAUUUCAAAGCUAACCAGUGGAACCUGAGAGACAGGCUCCUUUAUCAUAUCAUAUCAGAAGGAAAUAGGUUUAAAAAUGCACAAGCCUUUCUUUCAUCUCUGUGGGAGAUAUCCUGUUUGAUGUCCCAGGUUUCCUUCUUAAUUCCAAAGAUGAAAGAAGGGAGGAAAGAGCAUGUUAAUUUCAGACCUGUAGUGGUUUAAGACGCCUCUCGAUUUGGAUGGUUUAACCAAGAUAUACUGAUGUGAGCUUGAACUGAAGUGCAAUGAGAUUUUAUCUCAGAUUCUUUUCUUGCUAAUAAUUUUGAGCAACCCCACAGUACUGAGAGGAAGAAAGCUGCAGCGCGCUGACAGCACAUGUGACAAAUAUUCCUGCUUUUCCCUUGAAGGGUCAUGUAUAAUUUCACAACUCCCGCGCAGGGUGAAGAAAUAUGAGCCAAAGAGGAAAUGUAGAAAUGUUUAUUUCAGGAAGUCUGAUGGAUCAUCUCUGCUGGAUAAAUGAAGAGGGAAUGACAUAACCAACACAUCCAUCUCUUUUUUUGUCUGCGUUUACUUGAGGAUUUUAGCCUAAUUGAACAUAAUUUAUCAGCGUUAGACCUCAGGUUUUAUCAGAAUACCAGUCUACCAGCCUUUAGGUGACUAUUGACUUUGCAGGAAAAAUUUACUGUUAUGGUUUACUCCUUUUCUAUUUUCACCAGUAUUGUGCUUCCAAUUCAUCCACAGGAAGUGCUGAAAGGACCAAAUCCAGUAUUUUGAACGACCACCGGUAGCUGGGGCUCCACCCUCAGGAGGCGGUGCAGUUCAGCCUUCGCCAACGGGAGGCGGUUCCUGUCAGAGGAGUCCACCACAUACACCAGAACAUGAGUCUUCCUCAGACUCCACACAGAGCCUGCAGUGUUUGAUUUCGAUGGAUAAAGGGAGUCUUACUCUCAAGGAAAUCCAGCUGACACGCGGGGGCGUUGAGGCUCAUGAAGUUGAAGCCGCGGGUGG